GGGGCAACUACCCAAACGCUAGCACUGCACCAAAUUAUCAGCACUCUGAAUAAAUCGACCAAUUCUAAGUGAUAGUUAGGUGCUGAUAAUUGGGUUGCUCUAUGCUAGUAAUUGGUGGAGAUGGUGCCAGUAAAUGGUGACAGACCCAUUUUUUAUUCUUACUUGUCUAAAUAAUCUUGGAUAGAGGUCAA